UACGUAGGGUGCGAGCGUUGUCCGGAUUUAUUGGGCGUAAAGGGCUCGUAGGCGGCGUGUCGCGUCGGGAGUGAAAGCCCGUUGCUUAACGGCGGGUUGGCUUUCGGUACGGGCAUGCUGGAGUGCGGCAGGGAAGACUGGAAUUCCUGGUGUAGCGGUGGAAUGCGCAGAUAUCAGGAGGAACACCGGUGGCGAAGGCGGGUCUCUGGGCCGUUACUGACGCUGAGGAGCGAAAGCGUGGGGAGCGAACAGG
rnacentral:rRNA from 1 species